rnacentral:rRNA from 1 species
GCGAAAUGCGGUACUUGGUGUGAAUUGCAGAAUCCCGUGAACCAUCGAGUCUUUGAACGCAAGUUGCGCCCGAAGCCUUCGGGCCGAGGGCACGCCUGCCUGGGCGUCACGCA